rnacentral:rRNA from 1 species
GAUGAACGCUAGCUACAGGCUUAACACAUGCAAGUCGAGGGGCAGCGGGAUUGAAGCUUGCUUCAAUUGCCGGCGACCGGCGCACGGGUGAGUAACGCGUAUCCAACCUUCCGUACACUCAGGGAUAGCCUUUCGAAAGAAAGAUUAAUACCUGAUGGUAUGAUGAGAUUGCAUGAUAGCAUCAUUAAAGAUUUAUCGGUGUACGAUGGGGAUGCGUUCCAUUAGGUAGUAGGCGGGGUAACGGCCCACCUAGCCAACGAUGGAUAGGGGUUCUGAGAGGAAGGUCCCCCACACUGGUACUGAGACACGGACCAGACUCCUACGGGAGCAGCAGUGAGGAAUAUUGGUCAAUGGGCGAGAGCCUGAACCAGCCAAGUCGCGUGGAGGAAGACUGCCCUACGGGUUGUAAACUCCUUUUAUAAGGGAAUAAAACCUCCCACGUGUGGGAGCUUGUAUGUACCUUAUGAAUAAGCAUCGGCUAACUCCGUGCCAGCAG